AGGGACGAAAUGGUCCCUGACCGAAGAGAGAAGGAACUUCUGGCUAGUAUUAUCCCACUUAUCUCUCCAAGCAUCUAGUGGAGAGACAGAGAGACACAGGAAAAUGGCAGGCAACGCCACCGGCCGCGGCUGCAACGCCGCCGUUAUCUCACUGUCAGUAUCAACACCACCGUCCCAAAAGUUCCCCAUAAUACCUAAACAACUUGUAUACACUAAUAAGUGCUCAACUUUCUCUAUUAGAAUUGGCCGUGCUCAAAUUUCUUCACCAACUCCGAUUCACAACCCACGUUCUUCUUCAUCUUCAUCUCCUGUUGCCGUAGAAGAAGAGAAAACUGGGUCUCCUCCUACCGACGAUAAUCUUCCUUUCCAAUCAGAAUCCAAACUCGAUUCUGAUUCUCUCCCUUCUCCCAGGUGUGUGGAAUUGAAUUCUGAAACCUGUUUCGUGUAGCUUGUUAUUUAUAUGAUUCUCAUUUCAAUAAUUAUUCACUGUAUUCUUUUGUAAGCACAAACAAAUUUAUGUUAAUGUUACAAGCAAUUUGGGUGGAAGAACUAACUAGUUGUUAAAACUCGAGGCAACUCGAUAUGCCCAACGCACGCUUUCUGGUUGUUAAAAAUCACUACUCUAACUAGCAUUCUACCGGUCUUCCAGUCCGCUAUCCACGUGAAGGUCCUUCACAAUGGGUGCCUAUUGUGAUACAAAAAAUGCAAUUACUUUUAUUAGAACUCACACUUUAAAUCGGUUUGUAAACUCCGGUUUCAAAGCAGCUCUUGAUCCCUGGAUCUGAGCAGGAUCUCUUUAUCAUCCGGGGUCAAUUUUGAAUCGCUCGCGAGAUAAUCUUACCGCAAUUGGUAAAUGUUGAUAAAUAAACAUCUGUCUCUCAGUAAUUCUUUUCUCCGCUAAUCACCCCUUCCCAACUAGCCUGCCUUAUCAAUCUUGUAAGAUUGGCUAAUUCAGAGGAGUUAAUCUGGUCAGAAGUUGUCGGAACAAUGGAAACGGUGACCAGCAUGACUUAUGGACUAAAAGUUAUGCCUUUCACGAGCAACGUAGUAUUCAAGUUGUUGUACGACACAAAGAUUACUUCUGCAAUAUUUUCUUUCCAUGUGGGUAGAUUAUUAGCUGUUUUUUAAUACAAGUACUUUGAUGUACUUAUAUUGUGUUUCCUUUGGCUCCCUUUGCUUUUUUCUUGUCCUAGAAAUGUUUUAACGACGUGAAUCUGUUCACUGAAUGAAAUCAUAUCCCUGUUAGAUUGUGUUUUUUGGUUAAAUAGUAGUACUAGUACCCUUUUCUAUCCUUGAAUUGAUUGAGCGCGUAGGUUUACGAUUUUAAUACUAUAAACAGCACUGUUCUAAUGAGAACUCUUUUUGUAGUUUGCAGUAGAUACUUAUCCCUUUUUAUCUGUUAAUUAAAUCUAAAUAAUUCAUUAAUACCUGCAACAUAUACCCAAAUGUUUGCCUUAAAACUAUUAACUGGCACUUAGGACUAUCAUGCAAUUGAGAUCCUUUAUGUGAAGUACUUUAAAUGCCUUCUCUUUUAUUCUUUCCCAUUGUUUAUAUCAUGAGUUAUGACCUUAUUGGCUACUGUGAAAUUCAGACUAAGGGUUGCUUAAAAAAUAAAAAUAGUUCUUACUUUUUGGCAAGUAAGAGCUGCUGGAAGUCUUCAAAAAGUAACUUUUAAAAUGCUUAAACAUAUUUGGUAAAUAAAAAGCUACUUAAAAGUAACAUCUAAGCUUAGCCAAACAUGCUUGUAAUCCAGUGUUAACACUAGGAUCUUUUCAUAUAGGUAAAUCAGUGUGAAUGUGUUGCUCCAGCUAUAAUGAAAUCCCAGCUAUUUCAUGCAUGAUACUAGAUGAAAAAGUUGUUAACUUUUGAGAUAGAGUUCAAAGAAUACUUGCCAAAAUAGAGAAGGAAAUCACCGUUUCAGGUAGGAAUUAAAGAAGGUUUAUUACCCGAACGGCUGGCUUGUUGAGUGAUUCCAAUUUACUUUGUUGAAAGUUCUUGUUAUUUUAAAAUAUAAAUUACUGGCAUUUGAUUUGAGAUAAUAAUACUAUCUUAUCUGCAUAUGUAAUUUUCAACAGGGGCUGUAAGGCAUGUGGAAGAGAGGAGAUUGAGAGGGGCUGUAAUGGUGAGGGAAGGAUACAGGGUGGGAUUGCAACAGUUCCAGGCUUUGGUUGGUGGCCAAUAAAGGCUUAUAGGCCUUGUCCGGCAUUUGUGGCUUCCGGUGGGAGGUACAGACGAAUUGGACAAAGCAUGGAUGAGGUUACCUCGGGGAGAAGUGGGAGAGGCGCAUCCAAGAAAACCAGUGAUGCGGCUGAAUAGGUAUUUUUAAGCUACCUUAUACUCUACUUUUUGCUCCAUUGAUGAAUAAUACCACUAUGAUACCUGAGUGUGGUGACCCAAGGAACCUCCCCUAGAUGCUUGACACGUAUCAAACAUCUUGAAACUUCAAGAUGUUUGUCCGACGUGCCAUGUGACAUGUUCUUUUAUUCAAAAUUCUCACCAUCACAAGGGACAGUUCUCAAUGUGUCUCUCAACCUUAAUGGUGUCCGCCACACCAUAUGGUGUGUUUUUAUAUUUUCUAAUUUCCAACAUGGGUGGACAUGUCCUCCCAUGGGGUACCAUUUGUUCUAGCACAGGGCACCUUGCAGCAAUAAUCUACUUUGCUAGACUACCUUCUAUUUAUCCUCGAAUCAAUUUGAGAUGGAAAAACAAUUUAAGAAAGCUUUACAAUGGUAGAUUUGGAUGUAUUGAAAUUAGUAUGUUCAUUGAUUAAUGGAAGCACUAAAUUGCGAGUGCUCAUAUAGGGGCCAAACACCAGAAAGCUUGAUUCUAAACUUCGAAUAUGAUUUACCCAUAUAAUAGCUCAAGUAAGAAACUCCUCCACAAGAUUCUUUUACAAGUGAACGGUUGUGGUCAUUGACUCCUUGACAUGUCAAUUACAUGGUAAAACCUAAUUGUAAAUUUGAAAACAGAGAGAUAUAUUAAUAUCAAAAUAUUUAUGUGUCAGCAUAAUGUGAGAAAAACUAAAUAGACUUAAUGUUGAUUUUUUAUUUUUGGGUAUCUGCUACGUGCACGUUUUGAUAGAUAAUGAAUACUAUUUUAUCAACUCUAGUAAUACACAGUACAACCUGAAGUUAUCUUAAUGCAACAAAGUCACUCAAAUUCAGAAAUGAUGCCAAAACAAUGUAUUAAUCUUACUAAAAGGUAAAAGAAUUAUUAAAGUAAGUAUAUAAAAUAAAACUGUAUGAUUUUAAAGAAUUUCAUAAAUUUGUUUAUUGUCCUCCUUGAAAAUUUGUGUUUGUAUUCGUGCUUCAUGGCUGAAAUGUUUUUCUUCCUUGUACUAUCAAAUCUACCUACAGGCAUAUCUAUCGACUUUAAUAUAGUAUGGGGUGCGAAAGGCGCCACCAAUGUACUGUGAAAAGGACAAGCUACAUAACUCAGAUGAAGUUUACCAGCUUUAUGAGUGUAAUUACAUAUUCAUUCUUUUUAAAGUUGAUUGAUAACUAGCUCCUUUCGACUCUCUCACCGAUGAUUUUUCAGUUGUAUUGGAAUGUUUUCUAUUUACAUCAUUACAUCAUUUAUUUUUAUCACUUUAAUCAGAGAUUGCAUGUCUCAUAUUUGAACUCUGGCCUUGUUUAUUUCCUUCAAGAAGGAUUCAGAUGAGGUAGAAUGUUUGGACUUGCUGCUUCUACAAAAGAAGCAGCUUAUUUCAAUCGUAUGAUGUACUGCCUAAAGAGCCAUUGAGUUCUCUUUUGGCUUUUAAGCUUAGCCAUCCAACUCGUGAAGUAUCAGUUACUUCCCAAAUGACCAAAAGAAAGAAAAAACUGCCGCCAAAUGAAACUACUCAGCUUCCUAUUUGUGAAUUGUGAUGUGGGUUGAUUCUCUUCUCGUGUUGAUUUUUGUCCAGUAGGAUUUCUACUUUUGAUCAUGCCUUCCUUUCAUUUGAUAUUUCAGCCUUCAUGGAGAAAUGCUUAGCUUCACUAGAAAUUGGAGUUUCUGCAUUCUAAUGCACUCGUCUGGAUAGAAGAUUGUCAAUAUUCUUGUCUAGAAGAUUAAACUAUUUGGAGAGCACAUUUAUUUGAAUUGUGUCUUAAACACAUUCCCCUACCCUAUGGGCUGGAUUUAUUUUUUCACGAGAGGUAACACGUGCUCAAUUUCUAUAAAUGGGUGGCGGCGAGUUUCCAAUACAGGAUCUUUCGUGAUACAUCUUUACCAACUCCUCUAAAAGCUUUAGUUAUUAGAAAAGGGAUACAUUUUUUUUCAUAUGAAUUAUAUCUUCAUCCUCUCCACCUGCCUCCUGAAUUCGUUUUUUGGUAGAAUAGGUGACGGCUAGAUUUGAAAUAAUGUUUCUCUGCAUUAUCAACUAAAAUGAAUAAUAAUGUUUUUUCCCUUUGUAAAAUUUUGCAGCAAGAAGAAACAAAAAUCCCAGGAGAUUCAAGAUGUAUGUGCAGAAUUUGUCAUUAUUUUUACUUGUCAAAAGAAAGAAUUUGUCAUUAUUUUGCCUCUUGCUCAUAGGAGAAAAUAUUAUAAAAAUGAUGUCUCAGUUGUAUUAUUUGAACAGUUUCAUUACAAAGAAAUACAAAAACUAUUAGGGCAUAUUUG
rnacentral:lncRNA from 1 species